UCGGGAAUUUUGGGCAAUGGGCGAAAGCCUGACCCAGCAACGCCGCGUGAAGGAUGAAGUAUUUCGGUAUGUAAACUUCGAAAGAAUAGGAAGAAUAAAUGACGGUACUAUUUAUAAGGUCCGGCUAACUACGUGUCAGCAGCCGCGGUAAUACGUAGGGACCAAGCGUUGUUCGGAUUUACUGGGCGUAAAGGGCGCGUAGGCGGCAAUUCAAGUCAUCUGUGAAAUCUCCGGGCUUAACUCGGAACGGUCAGAUGAUACUGCUUUGCUAGAGUGCGGAAGGGGCAAUCGGAAUUCUUGGUGUAGCGGUGAAAUGCGUAGAUAUCAAGAGGAACACCUGAGGUGAAGACGGGUUGCUGGGCUGACACUGACGCUGAGGCGCGAAAGCCAGGGGAGCAAACGGGAUUAGAUACCCAUGUAGUCCUGAGCGGGCUGGCAAGGCGCAU
rnacentral:rRNA from 1 species